UACGUAGGGUGCAAGCGUUACUCGGAAUUACUGGGCGUAAAGCGUGCGUAGGUGGUGAGUUAAGUCUGAUGUGAAAUCCCCGGGCUCAACCUGGGAACUGCGUUUGUGACUGUAUGACUAGAGUACGGUAGAGAGGGGUGGAAUUCCUGGUGUAGCAGUGAAAUGCGUAGAUAUCAGGAGGAACAUCGAUGGCGAAGGCAGCCCCUUGGACCUGUACUGACGCUCCAUGACACGAAAAGCGUGGGGGAG
rnacentral:rRNA from 1 species